rnacentral:rRNA from 1 species
AGAGUUUGAUCCUGGCUCAGAUUGAACGCUGGCGGCGUGCUUUACACAUGCAAGUCGAGCGGCAGCAUGACCUGGUGAUGCGNGCGGCGACGGUGAGUAAUGCAUCGGAACGUAUCCUUGAGUGGGGGAGUAACGCAGCGAAAAGUUGUGCUAAUACCGCAUAAGCUCUGAGGAGGAAAGCGGGGGACCGAAAGGCCUCGCGCUGAGGAGCGGCCGAUGUCCGAUUAGCUAGUGGUGAGGUAAAGGCUUACCAAGGCGACGAUCGGUAGCUGGUCUGAGAGGAUGAUCAGCCACACUGGGACUGAGACACGGCCCAGACUCCUACGGGAGGCGGA